rnacentral:rRNA from 2 species
UGGCUCAGGACGAACGCUGGCGGCGUGCCUAAUACAUGCAAGUCGAACGAGUUUUCUUUUAAUGAUCAAGGUGCUUGCACCAAGAGAUUUAAAAGAAAACGAGUGGCGGACGGGUGAGUAACACGUGGGUAACCUACCCUAAAGUGGGGGAUAACAUUUGGAAACAGAUGCUAAUACCGCAUAAUAUUAAAAACCACAUGGUUUUUAAUUGAAAGACGGCCUUUGGCUGUCACUUAAGGAUGGACCCGCGGCGUAUUAGCUAGUUGGUGAGGUAACGGCUCACCAAGGCGAUGAUACGUAGCCGACCUGAGAGGGUGAUCGGCCACAUUGGGACUGAGACACGGCCCAAACUCCUACGGGAGGCAGCAGUAGGGAAUCUUCCACAAUGGACGAAAGUCUGAUGGAGCAACGCCGCGUGAGUGAAGAAGGUUUUCGGAUCGUAAAACUCUGUUAUUGGAGAAGAACGUAUUUGGUAGUAACUGGCCAGAUAGUGACGGUAUCCAAUCAGAAAGCCACGGCUAACUACGUGCCAGCAGCCG